GUGAUAUAAACACCAACAUUUAUACCAUUAGACUAAAAGAUACUUUGUACAUUGAUGACCGAAACUAAUAUAUAUUUAUGAAGAUCAUCUGUUUUAUUUUUUAAUGGGCCUAUGUAAAAACACUCAAUCGACCAAAUUAUCAUUCAAGCCCACCAAUAUUGAUAAUUAGCAAAUUACGGGUCGUCAUCACUCUUGCCCUUCUGUCAAUCAUGCCGACGUUCCGUAUGAACCCUAAUUUAGAGCUUCAUGAGUUCACCCAGCCUUUGCUAAAAAAAAAAAAGAGUUCACCCAGCCUCC
rnacentral:lncRNA from 1 species